rnacentral:lncRNA from 1 species
ACCGCGAUGAGCCGUGCUGGCAGAUUGUCCCCGCAGAAUGGUGUGUGGGGACCGGGCAAGGCGACCAGCGGUCGUAGAGGUUUCCAACGAGGCUGUGGGGGCAUGUGACCAGCAGGAUUCCCCUGAUGGACAAGGGAGGGUGAGCGGCCUCCUCCUGAAUGCGGAGAUUUAUUUCUAUUGGCAUAAACACAACAAAUGAAACCCUGACGGCUUUUCUCGCUCUGAAAGCCAAGAAUAUAUCAUAUCAUUCAUCAUGAAAGGUAAAAAAACCCAAAAAACAAAAACACAGUUUGCAAAGAGAAAGGAAAAGAGAAAGAAAAACUAUGCUUUUUGUUGUUGUUGUUGUUUUUGAGACAGGGUCUCACUGUGUAGUUGAGACUGACCUGGAACUCACUGUGUAGCCCAGGCUGGUCUGGAACUCAAAGCGAUCCUCCUGCCUCAGCCUCCGGAGUGCAGGGAUUACAGGCAUGCGCCACCCUGCCUGACUAUAAAAGCUAUGCAUUUUUAACCUUAGUGCAUGGACUCCUCCCCCACAGCUGAUCCGGGUAAUAUUUUUUACCCUUGACUGUUAAGUUGGUUUUCUUUCUUUUAUAUCCACUCCCCGCACCCCAUUCGGGUUGGUUUUCAAGUCUUAGAAGAUUUUUCUGUUUCUGCGGUGAAUGCAAAAGUAUAGGUAGCUGCAACUGCAGGCUGAUAAUUCCAAGUAGAG